AGAGUUUGAUCCUGGCUCAGGAUGAAUGCUGGCGGCGUGCUUAACACAUGCAAGUCGAACGGGAAACUUUUCAUUGAAGCUUCGGCAGAUUUGGUCUGUUUCUAGUGGCGGACGGGUGAGUAACGCGUGGGUAACCUGCCUUAUACAGGGGGAUAACAACCAGAAAUGGUUGCUAAUACCGCAUAAGCGCACAGGACCGCAUGGUCCGGUGUGAAAAACUCCGGUGGUAUAAGAUGGACCCGCGUUGGAUUAGCUAGUUGGCAGGGUAACGGCCUACCAAGGCGACGAUCCAUAGCCGGCCUGAGAGGGUGAACGGCCACAUUGGGACUGAGACACGGCCCAGACUCCUACGGGAGGCAGCAGUGGGGAAUAUUGCACAAUGGGGGAAACCCUGAUGCAGCGACGCCGCGUGAAGGAAGAAGUAUCUCGGUAUGUAAACUUCUAUCAGCAGGGGAGAUAGUGACGGUACCUGACUAAGAAGCCCCGGCUAACUACGUGCCAGCAGCCGCGGUAAUACGUAGGGGGCAAGCGUUAUCCGGAUUUACUGGGUGUAAAGGGAGCGUAGACGGACUGGCAAGUCUGAUGUGAAAGGCGGGGGCUCAACCCCUGGACUGCAUUGGAAACUGUUAGUCUUGAGUGCCGGAGAGGUAAGCGGAAUUCCUAGUGUAGCGGUGAAAUGCGUAGAUAUUAGGAGGAACACCAGUGGCGAAGGCGGCUUACUGGACGGUAACUGACGUUGAGGCUCGAAAGCGUGGGGAGCAAACAAGAUUAGAUACCCUGGUAGUCCACGCCGUAAACGAUUAAAAAUAGGUGUGGGGGAACAAAGCUCCUCCGUGCCGCCGCAA
rnacentral:rRNA from 1 species